rnacentral:tRNA from 1 species
AUUUUGUUAUUAUAUUAGAGUAUACCUGAUUUCCAAUCAGGAGGAUUGUUUAUACAAACAAAAUA